UACGUAGGGGGCAAGCGUUGUCCGGAUUUAUUGGGCGUAAAGAGCUCGUAGGCGGUGUGUCGCGUCGGCCGUGAAAACUUGCAGCUUAACUGUGGGCGUGCGGUCGAUACGGGCAUCACUGGAGUUCGGCAGGGGAGACUGGAAUUCCUGGUGUAGCGGUGAAAUGCGCAGAUAUCAGGAGGAACACCGGUGGCGAAGGCGGUUCUCUGGGCAUUACCUGACGCUGAGGAGCGAAAGUGUGGGGAGCGAACAGG
rnacentral:rRNA from 1 species